ensembl:ncRNA Y51A2D.36 ncRNA
UUAGGCUUAGGCUCAGGCUUAGGCUUAAGCUCAGGCUCAGGCUUAGGCUUAGGUUUAGGCUUAGGCUUAGGCUUAGUCUUAGGCUUAGGCUUAGGCUUAGGCUUAGGCUUAGGCUUAGGCUUAGUUUUAGGCUUAGGCUUAG